UUGUAAACCUACUCACGUGUGUAACCCGAGGGGGCUCUUAGUAUUUAAUGUCAAGCCCUCGGCGCGCUUUUUUGGUCAGGGCAAGGUUGUAAAUACACCCAUCUCCCCGUUGUGUUGGCAGGCAAAGGUCACCAACAACAAGCGAGCGCCACGCAAAAUUCGAGGCGGGAAGUUGUACGAGGCAUAGACCACGGGCAUCUGUUUAUCAUUGUUGGAGCUGCAGGGAAAAAAGGGAAAAAAAAAAAAAACCUCUGGAUUUUGAGCCACUGGAGCGAAGGAAAGGGUCAGCGGGAGAGAGUGGUUGGAGAGGGUCUAGUGACAAAAUGAGGCUUUCCGUGCAGCCCGCUGGCAACGGUCAACCCCGGCCGCUGCAUCCCAGCAAGACGGAGGCUCCUGCUUCCUCCCAAGUUACGCCAGCAAAGCUGGAGGAAGAAGGAUGAGCAAGGUGGCAACGGUGGGUCACGGUGGGAGAAGAAAGAGUGCUACCACGGUGUGUUACCUAUCAGCACCACGCAAACAAAACAUUACCACGUGGAUACAAAAGUUUGCUUAGGAAGCAGAUACAUGACCAAGGCAGCUUUGAAGCCUUCCUGAAGAAUCCUCCUUCCUUCUGUAGGAUGUUUAAUCUUUCUGUGGAGUUUCUGACCGUGAACCUCAUUCUGCAGACUUCCAUUCUUGUGCCAUACAGAUGCGUAAGAAUUGCUCAGGUGAGUGAGAUGAGCCCUAAAUCGUCACUGGAGAAUGAAGAUGGGAGGAACGCAUGGGCCACAAGGGCAAAACAAAAGCUUUUUUGGCCGUCUUUUCCAGCUGGGAGGAAAGAAAAGUAAUUAUAGCUCAGUGGUAGGGAGAGAUGGUCCUUGUGGGUCCCUUCCAACUUGAGAUAUUCUAUGAAUUCUGUGAUUGUAAGUCUCAAAGCAAGGCUUGCUAAUAACGUGUUUGUCAGCCAGGUCUCCUGCAGGGAAGGGCUCUCUCCCAUGACACUGUUUAUGGGUGUUUCUGCAGUUCUCCUGGAAGGAGUCUCCACCACCGCAGAGAGCCAGUGCUGCUCUGCAGCGUUUGGUUUCCUGUGUUCCUUCCUGCUAAAGGACGCUUGUCCUGUGAGAUGCGGAGCAGCUCACUGAAGGGAGCUGGGGACAUCUUCCAGCAGAGAGCUACAGGAUCAGGAGAGGCACUGCAGUACACUGAAACCAGCUGGAAGAACCUGCAAUCUGCUACAGUUUCUUCUGUGACACAGUCUGUCCUUGCUUUCUCACUCUCAUUCCCCUGUGAAACCUAGGUUAUGGCCCUGCUUCCCUCUCGCGCUUUCUUUUUCCAGUGAGAACCACAAUUUCCUCCUGUUUUUGGAGAGGAAGCAAGGAUGCUUUGCAGCCUCCUGUUACACAACUUGUCCGUGAAGGGGCUAGGGAGAACCUGAAUACAUUCAGUUUGGUAAGAAUAAAGCUUACAUUAGUUUAUCGCUCUCACUGACGAUGAAACGGUUGCUCGCACGUGUAAGUACUCUGGCUUCCAGCUUGUGUACACGCGCAGUUCAGAGUAUCGGAAAUUAUCUCUAAAGGGCACACAGCGACACACAGUCUGAGUCUUAGUUCAUACGGUGGAAAAAAACAUGUUUGUGAGUACUGGUUUCCUCCAUAUUAGCUCUUACAACUUCAUCCUCUGCUGUCUUAUGUGGUUUCAGAUCUCCCUGAUGCUAUUUCCACUGGAGGGGCUUUCACAACAUCUUGCUCGCUCUCACACUCACAGACGCUCACAUGCGUGCCUUCUCUGGUGCUGGCUACGGGUGGAAUUCAUGUUGCCUCUCAUGUAGCAGAGCUCAGAUACGGUCUCCCUCUUCCCCCUUAUAGAACUGGAAUUGUUACUUUUUUGUCAAAUUUGGUUGAUGAUUGGGUAAUGGGUUAAAAUUAUGACUGACGUAUACAUAAACACCCACAGCAUGUAGGAUUGCCCUCAUUUCUCUGGUUAGCAUGGCUAUCUGACUGAAACUAUAUGUUACCAGACAACCCAGUCUGCGGAAAAAAAAAAAAAAUAGUACAUAACCUCAGUUAUUAAUCAUUUGAAGGAUAGCUGAAAGUCACCAUUGCUGGUUCAGCGAUGCGUCACAUCAGGAAUGUGAUUCUGUGUGCCGUAUGUGCCAAUAACCAGAAGAAAAACAGCUUGAAAACUGGGGAUAUAGGUCAAUGUGAGGGUAAAUUGGACCCCGAUCCUAGACAGAGCGCCACAUGGGCAGAUCCGUCUUUGCAUGAGGUGGGUGCAGGGAUUUGUGGGUAAGGACUUCACUGCUGUGGUGCCUUAGCUGCCACUUUUAGCAUUUAGUGCUAUGCUAAAAAAACCCAAACAGAAAUCACAUUAGCAGAGUCAAAACUGUUGUUAGCAGAAUCAGAGUUGCUUUUAUUUUCAGGGUCACUACACUCAGCACUAUGUUACAGAAAAAGGAUGAACCCAAUAUGGAGUUGCUGAUAAUUCCUGAGUUGGUUUGACAUAUGCAGACUGCUGUCGACUUCAACAGGCUUAUUUAACACAUUUGUUUCUUCUGGCUUUAGGAUUAGUCAACAUGCGAUUUUGUGAAGCUAUACCAAUGAGGUUGCAUAUUGUGGGCUGCAGGCCUGGAGUUGCAGGCUUGGGGUUGCACAGGUGUAUCAGCAGAAAGACUUCGGCUUUAGCCAGCAAUUAACCACAAUUAGGGCAGUUAACCUCUUCAGAACUCUCAACAUUUUUACAUUAUUUAAAUUCUGUUCAUAAAAAAAAAAAAAAAGACUCCCAAGCAGGCAGUAGCACUCAAAGUGAAGAUCUGGGGAAAUAAAUGGCCGAAGCUAUCAUACCGUGACAGCUUUGGCAAACCUUUACACAGUUUUGUAGAGCAAACACAUGUGAUGUUCUCUUCUCUGGGUAGGUCUUUAUGCUAGCAGUUCAUACUUAACACAAAAAAUGAAUAAAAUGGUUCUCUCUCUCCACAUAUUUACUGAGCACAUACUGGUGAAUUAAGUAUCAUCCCAGCAGUGUACUAUGACAGCCAUGCUCUGUCAACGCAUUUAAACGUACAGCAGUCCUGCGGGCCUUUCCCGUCCUCUCUGAUGUGCAUAGCCCAGGGAAGAUGGAGAUCAUUUCAGCCUGUAUUGUGGACUUAAUGUUCAAAGGAGCUAAUUUCCCUGAGUCUCAAGAAUCACAGAAAAUAAAAUAAUUGUAAGGGGGCUUGCUCUUCUUUUCAACAGGUACGAAAUGUGCCAGUAGACUCUGAUAGCCGAGUGUUACUUCAUUUGCUUUCAACCCUGACAUCUGAGCUUCUUUUGCUCUUUAUGAACUAUUUGAGGUUUUCAUGUUCAGUUAAGAGCAGAUAUAUUGAAAACUGCUGAAGUUUCGCCCUGUUUUGGACCUGGGGCCCAGGGAGAGGGUGGUGAUGAUUAAAAACACUGGCACAUACCAAAUCAAAGUUAUACCAGAUCUGACUGAUUGUUUAACAGUUGGCCAAUAGCAGUGUUAAAAGCAAGAAGGAAAACCGCAGCGUUAUUCAUUAAUUUGUACUCAUAUAUGUUCUGUUGCUCUUAAACUUCCAAGAGAUCACAGAUUCAUAAAUUAACAAAACCAUUACAUAUAAUUACAUAUAAUACACGUUACAGGAAUAUAUAAUCCACAGAACCUUCCCCAAAAUCCAGCAAAAUAACAAGGCAAAUUGAUUAAAAAUGCUUGAUCAUGUGUGGAACGAAGGAAAAAAAGUAAGAAUGUUUAUUUCUCACACAAGGCUUUCAGUGAACCAAAGGUAGAUCCAGAACUUACUUUGUCAAUACCCUUUGGCUUUUCAUGGGUAACUGGCAGGUAUGAGGAACGACAGCAAAUUCGGCCCCUGUUACAACUGUUGUGUUACAGUUACACCAGCGGGACCAAAUUACAACCUUGUCAUUCUGGGUUCUCUAUAGGUAAAGAAGGGUAAAGCAGGGUCACGAUGAGGUAUAGGCAGUGUCACAGCACAGAGGAUGCCCUAGCUUGGGAGGGAAACCGUUUGACUCUAAAUGUGGUAAUGGUACUGGGGGACUGUGAGGAAGAUUUGUUACUUAGGUUCAUCUUUGAUUCAGUAUUUCUUGGUUUCUCUUUCAAAUAGGUAAACAGGUAAAAGGCAAGCAUACUCCAUAAUGUUAACAUGAGAAUAUUGUUUCAGAGAUUUGUUUUGGGGUUUUGCAGCAGAUGAUUGUUUGGUGAGACAGAGCCUUUUAUAGAAACCAGACUAUUACUUGUAUUCUUUGGCAUUUCCAUUUAGAAAAGCUACUCAUGUUUACACACACAGACACACACACACACACACGAUAUUGUUCAUAUAUAUUGUUCAUCUGGUAAGGAAGAAGUAAAAGAAAUUGAUACCAGCCUGCAUAUGUGUUCAAAAGCUUAGUGAAUUCUUCAAGCUCUGGUGUGGAUCACAUUUCAUGAAACUGCAAUAAAAAAAAUCCUUUUUCACCUUGUCUUUGUGUGUUCUGAGGUGGGUUUGUACGGUUUGAAUUACUAGGUAAUCACCAAGAAGUCUCCUUUUCAUGAGCCUGCAGCUGGGAAAUGGACAGUUUAAUAUUAAUGGAAAGAACAAACUCUCCUUCUCCUUUCUCUCCCCUUUCUUCUCUGCACCUCUGCUUCAUCAUUUUCUUCUCUAAGGUCCCUAGCCUGAAAUUGCCUUUGUGGGAGCCUGGGAUGAACUAAAAAGCAAGAGCAGAGCCCGUUUUUUCAAAAUCCCAUUUAUCGACUUGAGUGAGCGUCAUAUGACACUAACUUACAACUAUUCAAGAUCGAAAAAUCCAAUUCAUUGAUGUAUCUGCAAUUAUUUAUUCAACUCGGAAACUAGUAUCAAAUGAAUAUUCAGGCUUCCCUUAUGAAAUGCUUACUAAAUACUCUGCCAUCACCAUGCCAGUAUGGAAAUAAUCACUUCUGGCUUCUAGAAGAAGAAAACUAUUAAACGUUUAUUGAAAAUGAAUGGGCACAAACGGUUGAACUUUAGUAGAAGUAAACGGUAGCACCGUGUCUGUAAUAUGGUAUGUGUCCACGCCUGUGCCGUCUGGACAGCAUGAAUGUCUUUAAAGGUGCCAUUAACUUCCACCGUCUAGUGAUGUAUCUAGGAAGGUUUCUGGAUAACACACCUUCCACCGCUGCUUGCUUCUAGGUCCGUUCUGGCUUCACUUUCAAAGAAGUUCAUCAAGGAAGCAAAGUUAAUUGCCAAAGUUUAGCACAUGGCAAUUUUUUAGAUUAAAGGACACUUAUUCAUAUUCUUUCUCAUUUAAGCCAACUGCUGGAAAUCCAGUGCGAUGAAUGAGAGAGGGCAACCCCAAUGCAGGGUCUCCAGGGACUGCAAGGUCUAAGGCAAACAUGAAGUUAACCCUUUUUAGGCUUUCUCCCACAAAGGAACUCUGCACGUGAAGGGAUGUGAGAGCCUGUUGGGAGACUACAGAAGUCACGGGUCCGGACUGAACUGAGAGCUCCAAAAGGUUUCCCAUUUCUCCAGUUUUGGAUAUAAAUGGUACAUUUGAAUAAAAACCUUUGCUGAUGA